rnacentral:rRNA from 1 species
AGCGAACGCUGGCGGCAGGCUUAACACAUGCAAGUCGAGCGGGCGUAGCAAUACGUCAGCGGCAGACGGGUGAGUAACGCGUGGGAACGUACCUUUUGGUUCGGAACAACACAGGGAAACUUGUGCUAAUACCGGAUAAGCCCUUACGGGGAAAGAUUUAUCGCCGAAAGAUCGGCCCGCGUCUGAUUAGCUAGUUGGUAGGGUAAUGGCCUACCAAGGCGACGAUCAGUAGCUGGUCUGAGAGGAUGAUCAGCCACAUUGGGACUGAGACACGGCCCAAACUCCUACGGGAGGCAGCAGUGGGGAAUAUUGGACAAUGGGGGCAACCCUGAUCCAGCCAUGCCGCGUGAGUGAUGAAGGCCUUAGGGUUGUAAAAUUCUUUCACCGGGGACGAUAAUGACGGUACCCGGAGAAGAAGCCCCGGCUAACUUCGUGCCAGCCGCCGCGGUAA